rnacentral:rRNA from 1 species
CCUACGGGCGGCAGCAGUGGGGAAUAUUGGACAAUGGGGGCGACCCUGAUCCAGCCAUGCCGCGUGUGUGAAGAAGGCCCUCGGGUUGUAAAGCACUUUCAGUGAGGAAGAACGCCUGGUGGUUAAUACCCAUCAGGAAAGACAUCACUCACAGAAGAAGCACCGGCUAACUCCGUGCCAGCAGCCGCGGUAAUACGGAGGGUGCGAGCGUUAAUCGGAAUUACUGGGCGUAAAGCGCGCGUAGGUGGCUUGACAAGCCGGUUGUGAAAGCCCCGGGCUCAACCUGGGAACGGCAUCCGGAACUGUCAAGCUAGAGUGCAGGAGAGGAAGGUAGAAUUCCCGGUGUAGCGGUGAAAUGCGUAGAGAUCGGGAGGAAUACCAGUGGCGAAGGCGGCCUUCUGGACUGACACUGACACUGAGGUGCGAAAGCGUGGGUAGCAAACAGGAUUAGAUACCCCAGUAGUC